UUUAUAAUUUAGUUUUCCAUGUUUCGGAUAUACGCACAUUAUACAAGCAUUCGUAAAAGAUAUUACACAAAGUCACUUUACAAUAUAAAUUCUAAACAUUGUUACUUAUGAUCCUGGUCAGGAAAUAUGUCACAAAUACUCUAAAAGAUUAUAUGAUUCUGCCUUCAAACUCAUUAACUGAUAAAGUUAUGUUGCACAUGUGUGAGUAUAAGUACUAACUGAUAUUCUAUUUGUAUGUUUUCACUUGACUGCCAGUUUUGUCAACUGCUUGCUUGGAGUAAAGCGAAUAUUAGUAAAAAUAAGAAAAAAAGCGUAAUUUUAUCUACCAGCGAAUCAAACAGUGAUUGGCAUAUUAUUUUCUUCACCUUCUCCGAGACUUAAAUAAGUUGGCCGAAAACGAAGCGUAUGCUGUUCGUUCAGUAUUUUUCCCGGAUUUUUUCGAUGCAGCUUGAAGUAAAUUGCAGUGAUGAAGAGAAAAAUACAAUGAGCGAUAUCAUUGGAGAUGGAGUCAGCCAUGGAACCGGCAUUCACAAUCACAUUUCUGCUUAUUUGGAUAUUUAUCAUGCAUGCAUUUACUAGCUACACAUGCAAUGCUGAUUGAAUAAAGAUGAUUCAUUGAAGAAACUGGUUUGUUUUUUGCUUUAUUACAAAAUAAAUUCAAUAGCGAACAGAAAUAUUAAUAAAUCACAACAAUAUAGGUUACAGUGAUUCUCAUUUUCCUUUUGUAUGAUCCAAUUGUAACGGAACCUUGCGAGUUAAUGUUUCGCAUGACAAAUAUGGAUUAUAAUCCAACCUUAUAACAUGGAUUCCGAUGAAAAUUUUGUUCGCGAAAAUGUUCAUUUUGUUAUGGUAACCUAACUU